AAGAACCCACUUAAAGGAAGGAGAGAAAUGAUUUCAUAAGAUUGUCCUUGGGCCUCUACCUGUCUGUCAUGAUCAGCAUCUCCACCCCCCUGCAAUCCCCCACAGAAACAUACUUUUUUUUUAAGGCAACUUUAUCUUCAUUGGCAUUGCAUCAAGGGAGAGACAAUUGCUUUGAGGAAUAUCUUUUGCGAGAACCCGGCUCAGUCUCCGCAGCUCAGGGUUUGUCUUUCAUUCUCUCCAUCCCUUUCCUGUGAAUUCAAAGUUCUGCGCUAUGACUUCAGCCAGUUGUACUGUGGGUAGUCUUGGGUGACUGCAGAGUUGCCUUGGUCACGUGUUAGGGUAAUGGCCAACUGUCAGAACUAGACAGACUGUUUAGAAGAAAAAGAGGCGUAGAUUCAUAUGAUUUGAAGUGGAGGGGUUGAAAGAGCCAUCUGGACAAUGGUAUGACACAUAACUUGAAAGAGUCAAAGAGCCAGUAACAUACACACAAGUUCCUGGAAUCUGGUCAAAGUCCUGGGAUUAUAUGGAGAGGCCUUGAAGCCAGCAGUUUAAGCGGGGGUUUACUAACAUCUCAUUUCCAGGAGACAUCCAUGGAAGAGGAGAGAACUUUGAAGUCAGAUAUUUGGUCCUUACCCAGAAUGUGGCUCGGUUUCUGUUUAUGACUUACAUGACUCACUGAGGCACAGUCAAUCAAACCAAAAGUUUGCCAAUACGGUUAAUCUCCCAAGCCAGCUUGCUCUGGGCUUUCCUUGGGCUUCAUUUUCCAAGGAGAGGAUUUCACCCCACCAACUUGGGUUUGGGGGAAUCCGAACUCUGCUCCUCCUUCUUACACACCUCUGAGCCAUCUCUCCAUCCCUGCUUAAUUAUUUUAAAGGGAAAUGAGAGAGUAAUGCUUUUAAGAUUGUUAUAAAAGAUUUUUGUCUCUGUCAGAGGGCAGUUCAUUGUGUGGGCAAUUCAUGUGUGAAUUUUGCUUAAGAAAAAUAAUAAGUGAUU
rnacentral:lncRNA from 1 species